rnacentral:rRNA from 1 species
AUUGAACGCUGGCGGCAUGCCUUACACAUGCAAGUCAAACGGUAACAGGUCUUCGGAUGCUGGCGAGUGGCGAACGGGUGAGUAAUACAUCGGAACGUGCCUAGUAGUGGGGGAUAACUACUCGAAAGAGUGGCUAAUACCGCAUGAGAUCUACGGAUGAAAGCAGGGGAUCGCAAGACCUUGUGCUACUAGAGCGGCCGAUGGCAGAUUAGGUAGUUGGUGGGAUAAAAGCUUACCAAGCCGACGAUCUGUAGCUGGUCUGAGAGGACGAUCAGCCACACUGGGACUGAGACACGGCCCAGACUCCUACGGGAGGCAGCAGUGGGGAAUUUUGGACAAUGGGCGCAAGCCUGAUCCAGCAAUGCCGCGUGCAGGAUGAAGGCCUUCGGGUUGUAAACUGCUUUUGUACGGAACGAAAAGCCCUGGGUUAAUACCCUGGGGUCAUGACGGUACCGUAAGAAUAAGCACCGGCUAACUACGUGCCAGCAGCCGCCGUAA